CGUCUAUGAUGUGCUUUUAGGUUCGCACUACAGUGAAAUUUCUGAUGUGAGCUGAAGUACAGAACGUCGACCGGAGCUCCGGUCGACUCAGUCAAUUCCAUCCUACGCCGUCCGACCGGCUAGGUUUCCGAUUGGAGUUAAAUCGCAUCUGAAUUGGGGCAAAACCGGAGCUCUAUCUGCGGUAUUCUCUCUCUAUACGCGCGCGCACACACUCCCACUGACAUGCAUGUGCAGAUUUUGAAUACUCUGUCAUACUAUUUUGUUUAUUUUGAAAGAAAAUUUAAAUUGAUUCUGCUUUAUAGAUAACAUAUCUACUGUUGUUGAUCCAUAUUUCAGGUUUUCCUUUUUCUUCAUAAAAUUUGAGUAAUUGGGUACAUAUUAUAUAUAUAUAUAUAAAAGAAAAUUCAUUGGUAUUUUAACCAAUUAAAUCUUGAUUUAAAACGUAGCAAAUGAGUCACUUGAACCUAAUUGCCCGAAAUAAUGCUAAACUCUAUUGUUUUCUUGAUAGGAGGAAGGAAAAUUGGAUGGAAGGAUUAUUCUAGGGAAGGGAAGUUGGUUGGGUCGGGUGGAAGGAAAGAAAAA